rnacentral:rRNA from 1 species
UUGACGGGGGCCCGCACAAGCGGUGGAGUAUGUGGUUUAAUUCGAUGCAACGCGAAGAACCUUACCUGGUCUUGACAUCCCGGAGACCCUUAGGAAACUAGGGGGUGCUUCCAUCUGGAAGAAUCUGGAGACAGGUGCUGCAUGGCUGUCGUCAGCUCGUGUCGUGAGAUGUUGGGUUAAGUCCCGCAACGAGCGCAACCCUUGCCUUUAGUUGCCAGCAGUUCGGCUGGGCACUCUAAAGGGACUGCCGGUGUUAAACCGGAGGAAGGUGGGGAUGACGUCAAGUCCUCAUGGCCUUUAUGACCAGGGCUACACACGUACUACAAUGGCCGAUACAAAGGGCAGCGACACUGCGAGGUGAAGCCAAUCCCGUAAAAUCGGUCUCAGUCCGGAUUGGAGUCUGCAACUCGACUCCAUGAAGUUGGAAUCGCUAGUAAUCGUGGAUCAGCAUGCCACGGUGAAUACGUUCCCGGGCCUU